UACGGAGGGGGCUAGCGUUAUUCGGAAUUACUGGGCGUAAAGCGCACGUAGGCGGAUUGACAAGUCAGAGGUGAAAUCCCAGGGCUCAACCUUGGAACUGCCUUUGAAACUGUUUGUCUUGAGGUCGAGAGAGGUGAGUGGAAUUCCGAGUGUAGAGGUGAAAUUCGUAGAUAUUCGGAGGAACACCAGUGGCGAAGGCGGCUCACUGGCUCGAUACUGACGCUGAGGUGCGAAAGCGUGGGGAGCAAACAGG
rnacentral:rRNA from 1 species